rnacentral:misc_RNA from 1 species
UGUUUGGAUGGAGGAAUUUGAAAUUAUGAGAUGUGUAUUCUUUGGUUGAUUAGCUUCAUGAAUCUAGCUUGGUUUCAUGUAUGUGGAUAAAAUCCUUACGAGUGUGAAUUUGAAAUACCUAUCUAAGUGUCAUUUCAAAUCCACUUCAAGUUGUCAUUCACAUCCAUGAAUAUAAUAUUUAUUAAUGAAUCCAAUUAACUAAAGAAUUGGCUAACUUUCACUUAAACAAUUUAAACUAAAAAAUAUUUCUAAACGUUUCAAUUAAAAUUCUUCUAUCCAAAUAUAGCACAAGUAGAUUUGGAUUUUGUUUUGAAUAAUAUGGAAAAUUUGCUCUGCUAGUAUGCUUCUUAGCUUGAAG